AAUUUUUAAUGAUAUUCUUAAUAAUUACUUUAGUAAAUAAUGUUAGUAAUUGAUUCACAUGUAUUUUAAAAAUGUUAUCAACUAUAUGUCAUUUCAUUUAGUAAGAAUAAAAGUGUAAGGUUAAAAGUCCCAAAACAUUAAAAAAAAAAAGGUCUCGUUUUGCACCAUUUGCUUCCCGCCAUUAUUUCCCCCCAUUUACUUUUCACAAUUAAAAUUUGGGUUAACUUCUAAAUUUUUAAAAAACCCUCCAUUAAACUUAGUAUUCCAUUCACAAUUAAACUUUCAAUUUCUCAUCUUCCUCUCCCAAACUCCCUACUGUUGAAGCUGCCGAGGUCAAUUGUUGGUCUUCCGACAUUCUCUUUGGACUCUAGUAAGUUUUCCUUGCCUUCAAUCUAUUAAAUAAUAAAUUUAUUUAGAUUUUCAGCAAAUGUUCAUAUUUUAUUGUAUAUGAUGAUCCCUUUUCCAUUUUUAUUUGCCAGAUUUGUGAAAGUUCAAUAUUUUUAAUUGUUGGUGAUGUUUUUUAUAUCAAUGUUUUGUGGUCCCUUGAAAGUACCUUGUGGAUUAGGGCAAGAUGGGAAGGAUCUAAGAUUGAUUUCUUGAGAGAAUGACGAUCAUGCACCAAUUCUUUGAGCUCCGUCUCUAUUAUUUUCAUCGAUUUGAUAAAUUUUCUUCUAUGAAUUAUGCUUUAAAGCAAUAUUGUGAAUAUUGUGGUAAUCUGGCACUUAUCCAUUUUAGUAGUAACUGCAAUUAGCCUUUCUCACUCCUUUAAGGUUUUGGAUUCAUAAAAUCCCAACUCCAUCAUAUCGAAUUUCCGUUUCCUCUUUUUUUUUUUUUUCUUAAAAAUUAUUUCCCCUUCUUGAUGUUUGGGAUGUAAGUGUAACCAAGGAGAAUGACCCUAAGAAGUAUGAAGGUGGAUGUAUUUGUUUUAGGAAGUUGUACAAUGAUGACUAUCCUCUAUAGUGCCUGGAAUUGUUCAACGAUCACGGAUUGCAUGUUGGGGAUGAAAUUGGUCUACAUUGGGAUCCUAGGUCUUCAAGUUUAAUGUUCAAAUUGCUUUCUCGGGUUUGCACUUUGUGAAACUUGCAAGAUGAUUCAACAAUUUUGGACCAAUAAUACACCAUAGUCUUUUCGUUAGUAUUACUCUUCAUAUAGUGGUAAUAGCUAAAUGCUGAAUGAUAUUUUUGUUUGUAAUACUCUUCACAAUUAUAAUGUUAUCUUUCAAUAUCUUCAAACGUCUGUAAGGCAUUAUAUUGUCGCAGUGUUGAUGUUGUGCAUGAUCAUUGGAGGCAAAUAAAGAUGUAAGUAUAUUUAACCAAGUUUAAAUAGUCACUCAAACAGAAUAGUGAAUCAGAACAGCAGAACAUUUAUUUUUUGCUAAGCAAGUUAAAUUCAAGAAUUGUCGGGGUCUAUCAAAAACAACCUUUCUACUUCUUUGGAGGUAGUGGUAUGGACUGCGUACAUUUUACCCUCCCCAAACCCCACUAUGUGAGAAUACAUUGGAUUUGUUGUUGUUGUAAGUUAAAUUCAAGAACUCUCCAUUGCCUUAUACCAAAGAUACGAGUACAAUAGUUAUAGUAGGUAAAGUUUAAUCUUUACCGCUAUAGUGGGCAAAGGUCAAUUAUUUUAGAGGGAAUGGUAAAAGACACAAAGUAUUAGGUUUUUGCAAGCUUCAUAUGUGAAUUAUCUAGUGUGCGAGUUUCCAACCUAAACAAUCACAGAAUGCUUAUCAAAACACACCCUGCUAUUAUUAGUAUUUAAUAUAAACAAACAAUAAUUUUAUUACUCUAGCAUUAUCAGAGUGCUUUCUCUCCCUAUUAUUAGUAUUUAAAAUAAGUAUCUGUUAAUAGAUGUUCAGUUGCUAGUUUCAUGCUUUACUUUUAAAUGAAGGUUACAGCUGCAACAUAAUGAGAGACAAGUUUUAGAAGAACACUGAGACAAGGUACAUAAACAAGGAUCUAGAAGUGAGAUGGUGGACUAAGAAGUAGCAUGCUGAAGUGUAGUAGAGAAACUAAUAGCCAUGUUGCUCGAACUCUUCAAAAAUGUCAUCGGGUGCUUGUUGGAUCCUUCAAAAGUAGUGCAUUUUUGUAGUAUCUAACACGGGUGUGGCCAUAUUUUUGGAGAGUCCUUUUUGGAGAGUCCGAGCAACUUAGCUAAUAGGGAGAGACUGAGAAAAGCUGUACAUGGAGCCUUUCCGAGGAUCAAGUUAUUCAAAUUUUAAGAAGAAAUCUUUAUUGUCAUGCUUUCUAAAACUCGAAGUAAUGAACGAUGGCCUGGCUAAGAUUAUUGGGAUUAACUUAUUGUAUACUGGUUGUCUCUGGAGUUUCAAAAAAGGAGCGCCCAGAUAAAAGCAACCUAAAAGUCUAAGAAGGGUGGCUCAUUGCACAUGUGUGGUUGGUUCGGUGUUUAUGGGGAUAGCUAAGAGGAAAUUGGAAGCAUCUCUUGGUAGACCAGCCACUCGAGAAGAGAUAUGGAAGAAGACCCAUAUGAAAAUUAGAGAUGGAAAAGAAGUCUUAGUCGAGACACGGACAGAGGACACCUAUAAUUGAUACGUUUAAGCAAUUAAAGAGCUCAAAAGGAAUCAACCGAUAGAUGAUCAAAGCAAUCAAAUCAUGCUAUCAGGGGAAGAAUCUUCUAUUGGUUGGAUGAAGUUGGUGGCGUGUAUAAGGAAGGGCAUAUGGCCUUUGCUCUGAGAAGAGCUUUCAUCGCCUCCAGUGUGGAUUGCAAACUAUAGGAGGUUUUGCUGCCAUGCCAGAUGAACAACUUGAGGAGAUGCGACGGGAAGUUCGGGAGCUUGAAAGUACGCGAGUAACAAAAAAAAAGGAUGGAGGAGCGUCGUCGGACAAUACUUGAUCCAGACGUUCAAGAACUCAAGGCUCAAGUAAAUGCCUUAAUUAAGCUUCCUCUUUUUCUGCCCCCUAGCGCUGAUGAUGGUGGUGUAGAGGAUGAGGAUGACGAUGAGGAUGAAAUGGAGUAUUAGGUGGUGUUGUUACUUUAGUUUUGAAUUUUGGUGGUUUGGUGUGUUUGAAAGAAUUUGUUUUGCUACUUGUUUGUAUAGUUUUUUUAUACUUGUUUGCAUAUUGUUUAAGUUGGAUGAAUAUGUAUGAAGUUUGGUUGCUUAAUUUUAAUGUUUAAAUUAUUUCGGAA